rnacentral:lncRNA from 1 species
AUCAUUCAGGAGCAGGCCUGGGUGAUCCCAAAGUAAUAUCUGUUCCUCCCUCUGCAUAGAUCACUGAGAAGCAGUGAUGAGCACAGUGACUGCACCAUGUGAUAUGUGAGCAUCAGCUGUGGGAGUCAGGGAAACAUUGGAUGAGUUGCAUGGAGGAUGAGAUUCUUCUACAUACCAAGUGGCACGAUACAUAAAAUAUUCAACUGUAUGCCAAGAAGGUUGAGAUUCACAUGCAGCAACUGAGUAGCAUAUUUCUAUGUCUCCAUGAACAUGUCACCAUGGAGUGAGGUUACAAAAGGUACCUGGGAACAAGAGAUCUCUGGAGAGAACUGAGUAAUAGAUCCCAGCUAUGGCUCAGGUGUAAGGGGAAUCUCAGAGACUCAGAGCACCUGGAUGGAUAUGUCACCCUACCCCAGUAGGUCAUUUACAAACUCCAGAUGGACGAGAAAUGACUUUUGAAGAGCAUUGAUUCUACAUAUGUUUAGAACUGAGUUCUCCAGUAUUAAACAUUCAUGGAC